AACAGGAUUAGAUACCCUGGUAGUCCACGCCGUAAAGGAUGUCGACUUGGAGGUUGUGCCCUUGAGGCGUGGCUUCGGGAGCUAACGCGUUAAGUCGACCGCCUGGGGAGUACGGCGGCAAGGUUAAAACUCAAAUGAAUUGACGGGGGCCCGCCCAAGCGGUGGAGCAUGUGGUUUAAUUGGAUGCAACGCGAAGACCCUUACCUACUCUUGACAUCCAGAGAACUUAGCAGAGAUGCUUUGGUGCCUUCGGGAACUCUGAGCCAGGUGCUGCAUGGCUGUCGUCAGCUCGUGUUGUGAAAUGUUGGGUUAAGUCCCGCAACGAGCGCAACCCUUAUCCUUUGUUGCCAGCGGUUAGGCCGGGAACUCAAAGGAGACUGCCAGUGAUAAACUGGAGGAAGGUGGGGAUGACGUCAAGUCAUCAUGGCCCUUACGAGUAGGGCUACACACGUGCUACAAUGGCGCAUACAAAGAGAAGCGACCUCGCGAGAGCAAGCGGACCUCAUAAAGUGCGUCGUAGUCCGGAUUGGAGUCUGCAACUCGACUCCAUGAAGUCGGAAUCGCUAGUAAUCGUAGAUCAGAAGCUACGGUGAAUACGUUCCCGGGCCUUGUACACACCGCCCGUCACACCAUGGGAGUGGGUUGCAAAAGAAGUAGGUAGCUUAACCUUCGGGAGGGCGGUUACCACUUUGUGAUUCAUGACUGGGGUGAAGUCGUAACAAGGUAGCCGUA
rnacentral:rRNA from 1 species